CCUACGGGAGGCAGCAGUGGGGAAUCUUGCGCAAUGGGCGAAAGCCUGACGCAGCCAUGCCGCGUGAAUGAUGAAGGUCUUAGGAUUGUAAAAUUCUUUCACCGGGGACGAUAAUGACGGUACCCGGAGAAGAAGCCCCGGCUAACUUCGUGCCAGCAGCCGCGGUAAUACGAAGGGGGCUAGCGUUGCUCGGAAUUACUGGGCGUAAAGGGAGCGUAGGCGGAUAGUUUAGUCAGAGGUGAAAGCCCAGGGCUCAACCUUGGAAUUGCCUUUGAUACUGGCUAUCUUGAGUAUGGGAGAGGUAUGCGGAACUCCGAGUGUAGAGGUGAAAUUCGUAGAUAUUCGGAAGAACACCAGUGGCGAAGGCGGCAUACUGGCCCAUUACUGACGCUGAGGCUCGAAAGCGUGGGGAGCAAACAGGAUUAGAUACCCUGGUAGUCCACGCUGUAAACGAUGAGUGCUAGUUGUCGGNAUGCAUGCAUGUCGGUGCGCAGCUACGCAUAGACGACGUCCGCCGUCGGGAGGUACGGUCGCGAAGUAAGUUAAACGUUAAAGUUAGUAAGUUAGUUACGGCGUUGAGACGUGCCGACGGACGACGACGAGGGAGGAGG
rnacentral:rRNA from 1 species